GAUGAGGAAAGAAGAAAAUUAUAGACAUUUAAACUGCUUAUAAAGAGACAGAGUUUAUCAAUUGACUCAGCUAAGAAGAUGAUUUGCUAAAACAGAAAACAAAACCAGAAAUCCCAUAGCCCUGGAGGGAUACAGCACAACCCAGAGGUCCUGUGCCAUAGAUUUAGAUACAUGUUUCAUUCAAGAGUGUCCCAAGACAUGCAGAAGCUGAAAAACCCAUAUUACUCCUGAGAAGGAAGAAAAAGGCAAGCAGACCCAGCAUGCUCCAGAUAUCAGGAUUGGCAGCCACGUAUUGUGCGGCCUUUCUUGGACUGCUGGAAUUCCAGUGAUGGAAAACGUGGCUCCUGUAUUUCUGAUACACCCUGGAGUUUGAGAACAGUUGAUGGCAAGGAAAGUGUCUUUGUUAUUCACGUGAAGAUAGGAAAUGAAUGCUGUCAACGGAAGAAGCUCUGGAACUGAGAAGAAUCUAUUGAACUAAAGGAGUUCACUGGAGUGGUUUUACUAGAACUAGACCGGAAAUGAGAGGCCCUGAUCUUGAAUGCAGACAUUACAGAAGAUUAAAAACAAAAAUUAAAACAACCAGCCAACCAAACAAAUUUUGAAAAUGGUUCAAUGUCCCUCAACCGGCAAAUGGGUUGAUAAAGGGUGGUGCAUAUACAUGAACUAUUCAGCUAUAAAGUAAAGGGUAGACCAUGUAUGACUCUUGCAGGAAUGAUCUACAAAUACAUUUUGCUUCAUACUGGUUUCAUUUCUCUUGCUGUGGUAAAUAUCUUGACUAAACGCAACUUAGGUGGAAAAUUCCAGCUUACAGACUUCAGAUAAAAGCAGGGAAGUCAAGGCAGGUCCUCCAAGCUGGUCGCUUAAUAGCUACAGUCAAGAACAAAAGCAAAGCUCCGCCUCUGUUUACUUGCUCAUAACCCAGUCCAGGAAAUGUUUGCAUCACAUUAGGAUAGGACUUUCCUCUUUCAACCAGAGAUCAAGACAGUCCCCCACCACACGCUCUUAGGCCAACCUGAUCUGAAUAAUUUUUCAUUAAGACUCUGCCCAGAUUAUUCUUGUGAGAAGUGGACUUUUUUUUUUAAAUGCACAGCAAGUGUUGUUCUUUUUUGGUUUGCUUUAUUUUGUUUUGUUCCCCUCUAAAGAUUUAUUUAUUCACUUUCUGUAUGUGAGUACACUGUAGCUAUCUUCAGGCAUACCAGAGGAAGGCUUCAGAUCCCAUUACAGAGGGCUGUGAGCAACCAUGUGGUUACUGGGAAUUGAACUCAGGACCUCUGGAAGAUAAGCCAUCUUUUAGUUUUAACUUUUAAAACUGACCAUCGACUAAGUAAGAGAAGACAGACUAGACUCAUAAAAGCUUCAUAGAGUGCAGUUCUAUCUAUGUGAUGAUAUAAAAUAAGUAGAUGGAAUAUAGAAAUGAAAGCCACAUCGAUCGCUAGUAGGAACUGAGCAUCAAGGACUGGGUAUGCAGGGCUAGUGCAAGGGUGCUUGGAGGAGAGGGGCAAGGGGCUGUUCUGCAUCAUAUGGCUGUGUGCACUGGGUCAGCAAAUUUAUCUUUAUAGAUCAACCAGGGUUUCCCAAACAGUGGAUUUUACUAUAUAUAGUUUUUGGUGUGUGUACAUGCAUGCAUGUGUAUGUUUACGGUAUAUGGGUGGGAGUGUACCGGUUUCAGGUAUGUAAGUGUGUGAGUGCGUGAGCAGGCCUGAGGACAACCUCUGAUGUCAUUCCUCAGAUAUCAUCUACUUUUAUUCUUUUUUAAACACAAAGCCCCUGCUGACCUGAAGCUCCCAGGGGCUAGGCUGACCAGUUAACAAGCCCCAAGGAUAUGCCUGUCUCUUUCAGCAGUGCCAGGGUCGCCAGUAAAGGCUGCUACAACCUGUAUUUUUUUUUUUUUUUUUGGUUUCUGUUUAUUUAAAAAAAAAUGGAUUGAAGGGGUUGAGCUAAGAUCCUCUAGAUUAAAUGACAAGCUUUUUACUGACUGAGCUAUCUCUCUGUGUCUCCCAGCUCCUACUGUGUAAAAAUGCUGCAUAUGUAGCAGAAGAUGGCCUAGUCGGCCAUCAUAGGGAAGAGAGGCCCCUUGGUCUUGCAAACUUUAUAUGCCCCAGUACAGGGGAACGCCAGGAGUGAGUCGGUAGGGGAGCAGGGUAUAGGGAAAUUUCGGGAUAGCAUUUGAAAUGUAAAUAAAGAAAAUAUC
rnacentral:lncRNA from 1 species